rnacentral:lncRNA from 10 species
GACGAGCUGAUUUUUGCCCGGAAAGACACAUUCUUUAAGGAUGUGGACUAUGUCUGCAUUUCUGACAAUUACUGGCUGGGAAAGAAGAAGCCCUGCAUCACCUACGGCCUCAGGGGCAUUUGCUACUUUUUCAUCGAGGUGGAGUGCAGCAACAAAGACCUCCAUUCUGGGGUGUACGGGGGCUCGGUGCAUGAGGCCAUGACUGAUCUCAUUUUGCUGAUGGGUUCCCUCUUUCCUUUCCCUCUUGUCAGGUCAUCCAUGACUUUAGAGAACAGACACAAGUGUAUCCAGCUGUCCACGGGUGGAGCUACCCGUUGGGCUUAUGAGUGACCUGGAGUGACAGCUGAGUCACCCUGGGUAAGUUCUCAGAGUGGUCAGGAUGGCUUGACCUGCAGAAGAUACCCAAGGUCCAAAAGCACAAGGUCUGCGGAAAGUUCUGGUUGUCGGCCGGGCACCACGGCUCACACCUAUAAUCGAGCACUUUGGGAGGCCAAGACAGGAGGAUCACUUGAGGCCAGGAGUCUGAGACAAGCCUAGGCAACAAAACAAGACUCUGUCUCUACAAAAAGUUUAAGAAAUGAGCCAGACAUGGUGGUGUAUGCCUGUAGUCCCAGCCACUCAGAAGGCUGAGGCAGGAGGAUCGCUUGAGACCAAGAGUUUGAGCCUGCGGUGAGCUGUGAAUGCACCACGGCACUCAAGCCUGGGCAAUGUAGCAAGAUCCUGUCUCUACAAGAAAUUUUUUAAAAAUGAGCCAAGUGUGGUGGUGCAUGCCUGUAGUUCCAGCUACUCAGGACACUGACGUAGGAGGGUUGCUUGAGACUGAGAGUUGGAGGCUGCGAUGAGCCAUGAAUGCCCCACUGCACUCCAGCCUGGGCGACAGAACGAGACCCCAUCUCAAAAAAAAUAAGUUCUGGUUGUCAUUGAAUUGGGAUAAACAGAGAGCUUGAUGCUUUCUGCCUUCUGUCUCAGGUGAUGCAUUGCACAUUUGGGAUAUUUGGAAAGGAAAUGAGGAAAGAAAUUAGGGCCUCCUCUGAUCUCUCGCUAUCUGCGGGUCCUGUCCUUUUCUCAAGACCUUCACCAUUACUGGCAUUUUCCUGUCUUCUCUUUAGUAUGAUCCCUCAAAACCUCACUAACUGGAAGGAUGAUUUUGUCUCAGUUUGUACUCCUAAAUAAAAA